GCGGGGAUGGUUCAGUUGGGAGAGCGUCAGACUGAAGAUCUGAAGGUCGCGUGUCUUGUGCUCGAUCCACGCUCCCCGCA